rnacentral:ncRNA from 1 species
UUCAUCCAGAGCAGCGGAGGGAAUUGGCCCUAUGAAGCUGCGGCAACCCCCGGAAGGGAAGGUGCCAAAUCCAACGGGAACAACCUGAAAGAUGAA